rnacentral:tRNA from 1 species
GGAGGGGUGGCUGAGCGGUUGAAAGCGCCGGUUUCGAAAACCGGUAUGCGGGAUUCCUCCCGCAUCGAGGGUUCGAAUCCCUCCCCCUCCG